rnacentral:lncRNA from 1 species
GUUUUUUUUGGUGAUCUACUUGCGGGUUCCGCCCAUGAACCUAUGCAUAGGGGUUGGCACACGUUUUCGUCUUGACUCUUCGGUAGAAACUUUGGGGCACUCUUUGAAGUACUUCGUGUUGGUUUGAAUAGAUGAAUCUGAGAUUGUGUGAUGCAUAUCGUAUAAUCAUACCCACGGAUACUUGAGGUGACAUUGGAGUAUCUAGGUGACAUUAGGGUUUUGGUUGAUUUGUGUCUUAAGGUGUUAUUCUAGUACGAACUCUAUGAUGGAUCGAUCAGAAAGAAUAACUUUGAGGUGGUUUCGUACCCUACCAUAAUCUCUUCGUUUGUUCUCCGCUAUUAGUGACUUUGGAGUGACUCUUUGUUGCAUGUUGAGGGAUAGUUAUAUGAUCCAAUUAUGUUAUUAUUGUUGAGAGAACUUGCACUAGUGAAAGUAUGAACCCUAGGCCUUGUUUCCUAGCAUUGCAAUACCGUUUACGCUCACUUUUACCACUUGUUACCUUGCUGUUUUUAUAUUUUUAGAUUACAAAAACCUAUAUCUACCAUCCAUAUUGCACUUGUAUCACCAUCUCUUCGCCGAACUAGUGCACCUAUACAAUUUACCAUUGUAUUGGGUGUGUUGUGGACACAAGAGACUCUUUGUUAUUUGGUUGCAGGGUUGCUUGAGAGAGACCAUCUUCAUCCUACACCUCCCACGGAUUGAUAAACCUUAGGUCAUCCACUUGAGGGAAAUUUGCUAUUGUCCUACAAACCUUUGCAUUUGGAGGCCCAACAACGUCUACAAGAAGAAGGUUCCGUAGUAGACAUCAAGCUCUUUCCUGGCGCCGUUGCCGGGGAGGUGAGUGCUUGAAGGUAUAUCUUUAGAUCUUGCAAUCGAAUCUUUUAUUUUCUUGUCUUAUCACUAGUUUAGUUUAUAAAAGAAAACUACAAAAAAAUGGAAUUGAGUUUACCUUAUACGCUUCAUCUUUUUAAUAUCUUUCGUGAGUAUGAUGGGAAGGAAAAUUGUGCCAAAGUGUUAGAAGAAGAAUGCAUUAAAAUGUUUGGCACUAAAUCUUUGAAUGAUGAGCAUGAUUGCAAUGUUGUUAGUAUGAACUCCUUGAAUAUCCAUAGUACUAAUGAUGAUUGCACUAGUUAUGAUGAAAAUGUCUCCUAUAAACAUGUCAAUUUUUGUGGAGUGCAUUGGGUUUGCAAGUACACACCAAAUAGGGAAGAUAGAUAUUGCAAGAGACAUAAGAAUUUAGAAACUAAAUGGUUACAAGAAAGGCUAAAUGUUAGUGCUAAAAAUUUAAAAUUUCUUAGCCAUACUUGUGAACUUUGCAAUGAACAUGGUCAUUUAAAUAUCAAAUGCAAAUUGUUUCAUGAUCGAAUCGUGUCCAAAAAUUGUGAUGACUUGAUUUCCCUUGCACAUUAUAAUGAACUUAGUUUGCUUAUGGGUUAUGAAGAAAUGAAACGUAUAACUAACUAUCUUCCAUUAUUUGCCCGUGAUAAACUUCUUGAUUUUGAUCUAGAGGAAAUUUAUAUGUAUUGUGCAGUGAAUUGCAUUGAAAAUCCUUAUAUUGCCAAUUACAUAAAUAAAAGAAAACAAAUAGAAGAUGAAGAGAACACUAAUGAAAGGGAAGAUACUUCCCAAUAUCCUCCUAUUAUUUCUUAUGAUGAAUCAGGUAACGAGGAGGAGCUUUCUAUUCAACCAAUCUCAUCAAUAAGGAGCUCAAAAAAGAGGGAUAAACCCGCACAUGAUGUGAAGAAGAAAAAGAAAAAACGGAGAAGCAAAGGUAAAAAGGUAUCCCUCCCAAAUGAUGUUGCUCCUACUACUCAUUGUGAUGAUGAUAAUUGCUAUACUAUUGGUGCUAUCCAUACUAUUAAUGAUGAGAAUGAUUAUGCUUAUGAUAUGAAAAGGCCCAAGCUUGGGGAAGCUAUGUUUGAUGAGGAUGACAUAUUUGAGAAUAUAUUUACUGAAAUUAAUGUUUGUCCCAAGCUUGGGGAUGCUAUGUUUAAUGAAGAUGAUGUUAUUAGCCUCCCAAGUUUUGAUAUGCAAAUUUAUAAUGAUGAUAGCAUCCCUCCUACUUAUGAUGAAUAUAUUGAUGAAAGUGGGUUUGGAAGAGUGUCAACUUUAGGAAGUAAUGAUCCCACUAUUUUGGAGGAUGUUGAAUCUUAUAAUAUUUAUGAAAGUGGAUUUGGAGAGGUCAUGACUUUAUUUAGUGAUGAGUCCACUAUCUUGGAAGACGUUUCAAUCAAUUAUGAUGAGAACAAAGUUGCUACUUAUGAUGAUUAUUGUGAUGAAACUUAUGCUAUAAAAAGUAGUGAUGAUUAUAUUUAUAAAACUUGUCAUGAUUAUGAUUACCCUUUUUCAGAACAUUACUCUUUUAAUGUGGAAAUAAUUUAUAGUAUUCAAGUCUCUUAUGAUACUCCCACUAUUCCGAAUGAGAAGAAUUUUGCUUAUGUGGAGAGUAGUAAAAUUUCUAUGCAAGUAGAUCAUGAAAAGAAUGCUUUAGGUGCUGGUUAUAUUGUUGAAUUCAUUCAUGAUGCUACUGAAAGUUAUUAUGAGGGAGGAAUGUAUGCUUGUAGGAAUUGCAAUAAUAUCAAGUUUCCUCUCUAUGUGCUUAAAAUCUUGAAGUUAUGCUUGUUUUACCUUCCUAUGCAAGUUGAUUCUUGUUCCCAUAAGUUGUUUGCUCACAAAAUACCUAUGCAUAGGAAGUUGGUUAGACUUAAAUGUGCUAGUCAUAUUCUUCAUGAUGCUCUCUUUAUGUUUCAAUUCUUAUGUUUUAUGUGAGCAUCAUUGAAAUCAUCAUGCUUAGCUAGGGGCGUUAAACGUUAGCGCUUGUUGGGAGGCAACCCAAUUUUAUUUUAGUUUCUUUCUUUUUGGUUCUGUUUAGGAAUAAAUAAUCCAUCUAGCUUCUGUUUAGAUGUGGUUUUCUGUUUUAAUUAGUGUUUGUGCCAAGUAGAACCUUUGGGAAGACUUGGGUGAAGUCUUUAUGAUCAUGCUGUAAAAAACAGAAACUUUAGCGCUCACAAUAUUAGCUAAAACUUUUUACUGGAGAGUGAUAUUUAGUUGAUUAUUUUUGAAGAUGAUUACUAGACAAAUUCCUCAGGUCCACCAAUUUAUUUUAGAAUUUUUGGAGUUCCAGAAAUAUACGUUUGAUACAGAUUACUACAGACUGUUCUGUUUUUGACAGAUUCUGUUUUCUAUGUGUUGUUUGCUUAUUUUGAUGAAUCUAUGAGUAAUAUCGGAGGGUAUGAACCAUAGAGAAUCUGGAAUACAGUAGACAUUACACCAACAUAAAUAAAGAAUGAGUUCAUUACAGUACCUUGAAGUGGUGUUUUGUUUUCUUUCGCUAACGGAGCUCACGAGUUUUUCUGUUAAGUUUUGUGUUGUGAAGUUUUCAAGUUUUGGGUAAAGAUUCGAUGGACUAUGGAAUAAGGAUUGGCAAGAGCCUAAGCUUGGGGAUGCCCAAGGCACCCCAAGGUAAUAUUCAAGGACAACCAAGAGCCUAAGCUUGGGGAUGCCCCGGAUGCCAUCCCCUCUUUCAUCUUCGUUCAUCGGUAACUUUACUUGGAGCUAUAUUUUUGUUCACCACAUGAUAUGUGUUUUGCUUGGAGCGUCAUUUUAUUUUCUUUAGAUUUGCUUGCUGUUUGAAUAAAAUACCAAGAUCUGAAAUUAUUAAAUGGUAGAGAGUCUUCACAUAGCUACAUAAUUAUUUAACUACUCAUUAAUCUUCACUUAUAUCUUUUUGGAGUAGUUUGUCAUUUACUCGUGUGCUUCACUUAUAUCCUAUGAGUAAAUGGUUGAAUGAAUUGAAUAUCAUAAAUCUGAAAUUAUAUAUGUUUCAUAUGCUUAUCCCAUGGGGAGUAAUGACUUUACAUAUAAGAAUUAGAGGUGGUAAAUUCAUUGAAGGUUAGCAAACAUUGUAUUGGUCACUUGAACAAUUCAUGAUAGAAUAUUGAAGGAAGAGAGAUUUCACAUAUAAAUAUACUAUCUUGGACAUCUUUUGUAAUUGUGAGCACUCAUUAAAAUAUGACAUGCUAAAAGGUUGAUGUUGGACAAGGAAGACAACGUAGGUUAUGUUUUCUUAUAUCCGAAAUAAAGUAUAUUGUCAUGGAUCGCCCAACACGUUGAGCUUGCCUUUCCCCCUCAAGCUAGCCAAAUUCCUUGCACCAAGUAGAGAUACUACUUGUGCUUCCAAACAUCCCUUAAACCAGUAUUGCCAUGAGAGUCCACAAUACCUACCUACAGAUUGAGUAAUAUCCUUCAAGUAAGUUGUCAUCAGUGCAUGCAAUAAAAAUUGCUCUCUAAAUAUGUAUGAUCUUUUAGUGUGGAGAAAAUAAGAUUUAUACGAUCUUGUGAUAUGGAAGCAAUAAAAGCGAGACUGCAUAAUAAAGGUCCCUAUCACAAGUGGCACUAUAAAGUGACGUUCCCUCGAAUUAAGAUUUUGUGCAUCCAACUAUAAAAGCGCAUGGCAACCUCUGCUUCCCUCUGCGAAGGGCCUAUCUUUUACUUUUAUGCAAGAGUCAUGGUGAUCUUCACCUUUCCUUUUUUUCAUUUUAUCUUUUGGCAAGCACCUCGUGUUGGAAAGAUUCUGAUAUAUAUAUAUAUAUAUAUAUAUAUAUAUAUAUAUAUAUAUAUAUCCAAUUGGAUGUAAGGCGUCAUGACCUAUUAUUGUUGACAUUACCCUUGACGUAAAAGGUUGGGAGGCGAAUCUAUAAGCCCCUAUCUUUCUCUGUGUCUGAUUAAAACUUUGAACCCAUAAAUAUCGCGUGAGUGUUAGCAAUUGUGAAAGACUAAAUGAUAGUUGAGUAUGUCGAGUUUGCUAAAUCAAAGCUUUGACAUAGACUCUUCCUGAAAAUAAGAUGAAUUGUAAUUGUUUGAUGACUAAUAACACGGUUUGUUAGUUUUCAAGAAAGUUUAUGAUCUAUACUUUAGCAUGUGAAUAGUUUGUUACUUGAUCAUGCAAAGUUUAAUGAGUUGAGCUACUGUUAUGACAUAUAAUGAUGCUAGAAAAGGUGAUUGAAAUUAUCAUUGAUCAAACUUGUGCACCUGCUAGCAUCCACACUUCAUAAAUUAUUUCUUUUAUCAUUUACCUACUCGAGGACGAGCAGGAAUUAAGCUUGGGGAUGCUAAUACUUCUCCAACGUAUCUAUAAUUUAUGAAGUAUUCAUGCUAUUAUAUUAUCCAUCUUGGAUGUUUAAUGGGCUUUACUAUGCACUUUUAUAUUAUUUUUGGGACUAACCUAUUAACCCAGAGCCCAGUGCCAGUUCCUGUUUUUUCCCUUGUUUCAGUGUUUCGCAGAAAAGGAAUAUCAAACAGAGUCCAAACGGAAUGAAACCUUCAGAAGAGUUAUUUUUGGAACGGAAGCAAUCCAGGGGACUUGGAGUGCACGUAAGGGAAGCAACGAGGAAGGCACGAGGCAGGGGGCGCGCCCACCCCCUGGGCGCGCCCUCCACCCUCGUGGGCCCCUCGUGGCUCCCCUGAUCGACUUCUUUCGCCUAUAUAUAUAUAUAUAUAUCAAUAUACCCUAAAACCAUCAGAAAACAGAAUAGAUCGGGAGUUCCGCCGCCGCAAGCCUCUGUAGCCACCAAAAACCAAUCGGGACCCUGUUCCGGCACCCUGCCGGAGGGGGAUCCCUCACCGGUCGCCAUCUUCAUCAUCCCAGCGCUCUCCAUGACGAGGAGGGAGUAGUUCACCCUCGAGGCCGAGGGUAUGUACCAGUAGCUAUGUGUUUGAUCUCUCUCUCUCUCUCGUGUUCUUGAGGUGGUACGAUCUUGAUGUAUCGCGAGCUUUGCUAUUAUAGUUGGAUCUUAUGAUGUUUCUCCCCCUCUACUCUCUUGUAAUGAACUGAGUGUUCCAUUUGAAGUUAUCUUAUCGGAUUGAGUCUUUAAGGAUUUGAGAACACUUGAUGUAUGUCUUGCCGUGCUUAUCUGUGGUGACAAUGGGAUAUCACGUGAUCCACUUGAUGUAUGUUUUGGUGAUCAACUUGCGGGUUCCGCCCAUGAACCUAUGCAUAGGGGUUGGCACACGUUUUCGUCUUGACUCUUCGGUAGAAACUUUGAGGCACUCUUUGAAGUACUUUGUGUUGGUUUGAAUAGAUGAAUCUGAGAUUGCGUGAUGCAUAUCGUAUAAUCAUACCCACGGAUACUUGAGGUGACAUUGGAGUAUCUAGGUGACAUUAGGGUUUUGGUUGAUGUCUUAAGGUGUUAUUCUAGUACGAACUCUAUGAUGGAUUGAUCAGAAAGAAUAACUUUGAGGUGGUUUCGUACCCUACCAUAAUCUCUUCGUUUGUUCUCCGCUAUUAGUGACUUUGGAGUGACUCUUUGUUGCAUGUUGAGGGAUAGUUAUAUGAUCCAAUUAUGUUAUUAUUGUUGAGAGAACUUGCACUAGUGAAAGUAUGAACCCUAGGCCUUGUUUCCUAGCAUUGCAAUACCGUUUACGCUCACUUUUACCACUUGUUACCUUGUUGUUUUUAUAUUUUCAGAUUACAAAAACCUAUAUGUACCAUCCAUAUUGCACUUGUAUCACCAUCUCUUCGCCGAACUAGUGCACCUAUACAAUUUACCAUUGUAUUGGGUGUGUUCGGGACACAAGAGACUCUUUGUUAUUUGGUUACAGGGUUGCUUGAGAGAGACCAUCUUCAUCUUACACCUCCCACGGAUUGAUAAACCUUAGGUCAUCCACUUGAGGGAAAUUUGCUACUAUCCUACAAACCUUUGCACUUGGAGGCCCAACAACGUCUACAAGAAGAAGGUUGCGUAGUAGACAUCAUCCGCUGAGGCUGUAUUCUUCGGCGGCUAGGAUUUCGGUCCAUCUAUCAUUGAGCAGAUCUUGGUCAGCUUGAAGCUGCUGCUGCUUCUUUUUCAGGCUCCUUGCAGUGGCUAUUAGCCGGCGUUUAAAGCGCUCCUGUUCGAGGGGUUCCUCAGGCAUGAUGAAAUCCUCAUUGCCGAGGCUCUCCUCCUCCUCAGAGAUCGGAAGAUAGGUACUGUCCUUCGAGUCUUCAUGUAUGUCCUGUUCGUCAGGGCUAAAGUGCCCGUCUUCCCGUUCAUCCUGUUCGGUCGUUUGCUCGCCGGGAUCUUCAUUGUAUUCGGCACCAUCCGGAGUGUGAUCGUCUCUUGUGCCGGUGUUGUUGUCCUUGCUGCGGCGGGAUUUAGAGCGGCGCCGCUGACGUCGGCGCUUUGGUUGUGUCUUGGGAGGCUCGUCCUCGGCUGGAUUUUCCUUGUCUUCGCCGUUAUUCUCUUUGGGUGUAUCCACCAUGUAUACGUCGUACGAAGAAGUGGCCGUCUGGCGUCCGGUAAACAGCGGGUUUUGGCCAUGCUCCUCAUCUGCAUCGUCGUCCAUACCGUCGAUGUCCUCGGAGCCGUAAUCGAGCAUGUCGGUUAAGUCCUCGACAGUAUCUAUGUAGUGGGUGGCGGGUGGGAAGCGAAAUUCCCCGUUAUCAGCCUCCAGUCCAAACCGGGCAUAGUUCAGCUGUGAGACCUCCCCUAAGGAUAGAUUUCUUAAUGAGUUUAACACAUCGCCUAAAGGCGAAUGCUGGAAGAUAUCUGCGGCGCUAAAUUCGAAGAUCGAUAACUGAUCAAGCUCAGCGUCCGCGGACGCACAUGGUUCGGAACUUAUAGCCGGAGACGAGUCCGGAGUUCUGGUGACACAGAUGCCACAUCAGGUUAAGUCUGUGUGCGGCUCCAACACCGCGGAAUCUGUGGCCUCCAUGGCGGGGUUGAGCUUCCCGUCCUCGGAUGGCACGGUCUGCUCUGGAUCUAAGGCCGGAGUGGUUACAGGUGCAAUUUCCUGAGUAUGGACCGAUGAUAGAUUUAAAUCAUGUUCAUCGUAGGGAUAGGGAGCGGCUGCCGUGGUCUCGAAUCCGUCGAAGAUCAAGUCUCCGCGGAUGUUCAUGAUGUAGUUCAAGCUCCUAAAUCUAACCUGAUGGCCAGGGGCGUAGCUGUUGAUCUGCUCCAGAUGGCCAAGUGAGUUGGCCCGCAGUACGAAGCCGCCGAACACGAAUAUCUGUCGGGGAGGAAGGUUUCCCCUUGGACAGCAUCGCCGUUGAUGUUUGCAGAAGCCAUCGAGCCUUUUGGGGACGGCACAGUGGAACUCUCAAUGAAAGCACCAAUGUCGGUGUCAAAACCGGCGGAUCUCGGGUAGGGGGUCCCGAACUGCGCGUCUAAGGUCGAUGGUAACAGGAGACGGGGGACACGAUGUUUACCCAGGUUCUGGGCCCUCUCUAUGGAGGUAAUACCCUACUUCCUGCUUGAUUGAUCUUGAUGAAUAUGAGUAUUACAAGAGUUGAUCUACCACGAGAUCGUAAUGGCUAAAACCCUAGAAGUCUAGCCUAUAUGACUGUAUGUCUUUCCGGACUAAGCCCUCCAGUUUAUAUAGACACCGGAGGGGACUAGGGUUGUACAGAGUCGGUUACGGAGAAAGGAAUCUUCCUAUUAGCCAAGCUUGCCUUCCACGCCAAGGAGAGUCCUAUCCGGACACGGGAGAGAGUCUUCGGUCUUGUAUCUUCACAGCCCAUUAGUCCGGCCUAUGUCCAACAGGCCGGACGCCCAAGGACCCCUUUGUCCAGGACUCCCUCACCAGUGCGUAUAUUCAGGUCAUCUGCCUCAUAGCGAGUGACAUGUACAACCACACAAUCCUUGUCUGCAUCAGGGCUCUAACGGAAACAGAAACAAAUUCUGAAUUACUUUCCAGUAUAAGAAACACAAGUUAUUUAAACCACUAUGUAUAGCAUGGCAUCGAAGCUAAUAAAAUUUUGCAUUAUUCAUCACCACAUACUUAGAUGAAAAACCACAAUCGAGAUCGACAAAGAAGAAAAUCACCUUGGGCAGCUCAGCGGGGGGGGAGACAUCCUUGAAGGGGGAAAACUGCUCCUGCAGUGUCGCGGGGGCUGUAACCUCAAACGGGGCGUUGACCAUCUCAGUAGUGGCCGUGAGCGUAUCUGGGGUCAGCUCGGUGGCUGCCUCCAUCUUCUUGGAGCUCUUUGUCUCGUGGGGAUCAGCCUCCCGCGUCUGCUCCAAUAUCGGCAGAUCUUUGCCUGGUUCUCCUUGGUCCAUCAUGAAACUGACGGAUACUAGGAGACCACUGAAAGGAAAACACAAUCGCAAUGAAAAUGAAACAAAAAGAGAGUGAGGAUCGGUUACUGCUUUGCAAAAGUUCUUUUUUUUCUCUGAACGAAAAUAUACCAAUAUCACGGAUCCGCUUACCUUCCCUUCGUUGGGAGAGAAGAGCAGUGGCAGAAGCGAGUGUUGGCUUUCUUGAAGACGGUGAGGGAAAAGGGGAUUCAGCGAAGAGUGAAAUGAUGGUUGCUUCGUCCGUCAAACUUAGACUGCAGGGAGGUGGGGUUUUGUGAUACGACAGCUCGUUACUGCUGCGCUACGACCGGGGUGACUCUCCGCCUGCAUACUGCCUUCUAAUUUGGUGGAUGGCAUUUGGGCCCACGCGCAGCAUUGGCCCACAUGUCGGUGAACAAAAGUAAAACGGCAUUCAGUAGAGGGAGACAUUUCGAUGACCUAGGAGGAGCCAGAAGCGGUAGUGUAUCCACUGUACUAGUAGUAAUUGUUUUUCUGGUAGCUGUAGAGUGUCUCCACUGUACUAGUAGUAGUUGUUUCUUUGGGCCCAAGACAAAAUAGCCCAUCCACCCUAGUAAAUAAUAAAAUCAAUUGAAAAGCCCAUAUAUUUACUUAAUAAGAGGCGCUACCCACACCUAGCACACUGCCCCCCCCCCCAAAAAAACCUCGGUGCUCUUCUUCCUCCUCACUCCCACCCACCUCACGUCAGAUCACUCCACUUGUACCCCCAAAUUCCUCAACUCACUCCUACAGAAAACCCCAGCUCCCCUUCUUCCUCACUACUAUAGAAAAACCCUAGCUCCCCUUCUUUUUCACUCACACUACAACUAGGCUCGUCAUUCGUUACUCUGCUCAAAUCCGUGAGCGCGGCGCGACGCCCUCGAGGAAAAUGGAGUCGGCUGACCCCAGUGCCAAGAAGAUGAGGCUCCCGCCAGCGGCGACGCCUAUUGUAGAUCCCGCACCUGGCAACGCGAGGAGAAGCGGCGACCCCGCCCCCACCGGAUCCCAGGAACCUAUAGAAUCUCGGGUGGACCGCAUCAGCAAUCUCCCGGAUUCCGUCCUUGGGGAGAUCAUCUCGCUUCUCCCCACCAAGGAUUGCUACCGCACCCAAGUCCUCUCAAUUCGGUGGCGCCCUCUAUGGCGCGCCGUGCCCCUUAAUCUCGACUGUCGUCAGCUAUCUCUCUUCAAAGGUUUUGAAAUCCCCAGAGCCAUCAUCUCCUCCCACCAGGGCUCCGUUCAAAGCCUCUGCAUCCCGUCAUGCUACCUGAGCAAGCAUACCAUGCCCUGCACGGUGGACGCCUGGCUGAAAUCCCCUGAAUUCACAGAACUACAGUUGCUUGAGUUCUACUAUUCCCCUGGAAAUCACCUACCAGAUACCGAACGCCAUCUACCUGUGCCCUCAGCACCGAUGUCCAUCUCGCGUUUUUCCUCCUCUCUCCACACCGCCACCUUUGCGUUGUGCGACCUACCAGACAAUCUGGUACUAAACCUUUGACUCCCAUUUCUCAAGAACUUUCACUUGUGCGAGUUCGUAUAUCGGAGGCCUCAUUGCACAACAUCAUCCACUCCAGUUGCCCUGCCCUGGAGUGCUUGGUGCUUGUUUUCACGGUUAGAAUCGGUUGUCUCCAAAUAAAGUUGCCUAACCUUGUAAGGAUUGGAAUUUCUUUUGAUGGAAGGCAGCUCAUCAUCCAAGAUGCCCCUUAACUUCAAAGGUUGAUCCUUGAUUCUAGUUAUUCACCGUCACAAAUAACUGUCCUCUUUGCGCCUAAACUGGAGACCUUGGGUGUAAUACAUGAUCUCUGUGCUCAUUUCAAUAUGGUGUUUGGCUCCAUAGUUCUUCAGGUACUUUAUAUUACCAUCUACACUUGUAACCAUAAGCUGCAUUUUAAAUUUCUGCACAGAAGUUAUAUAUCAUCUCGGAGUACACAUUUUGUACUAAUAUUAUGUUCUAUCCUCAAUGAAGAGUUUUCCAUGGAUAGCCUAUCAAUGGUGCUGGAUUCUGUCAAGAUCUUAUAUAUCCAAAUGAAUAGUUUUGAUCUGAACAAGAUUAUUAGCUUGCUGUCUGGAGAAGUUGUAUAUAAAGGUGAUAAUUUCAUGCACAUUGGAAGCCCGCAUAUAGUGUACUAGAAUUAACCGUUCAGCUGUUGCUCUUUCCACACUCUUUUUUUAGACCUUAACUGUUUUCAAUCUUCAUGUCUAUUUAGGCAACAGGACGGGAUAAGAAAGUUAUAACCAAUCGGUGGAUUCGUAAGCACUGGGAUUUUCUCACUUCUCAUGACAUUCGAUUGAAUACAAUAACGCUAGAACGAUAUGUAGCCAACCAUGCAAACACUAGAUUUGUCACAUUCUUCCUGCUGAAUGCGAGGUUACUAUUGUCCAUCAGGCUUAAGUUUAUCAGCAGCAUGGUUUUGACGGAUGGGUAUGUCGAAGAGCAAAAAAAAGGAGUUUCAGGUGGGCAAAAGAGCUUCUGAACAUGUCGGGCUUCUAUUUACAACAUAUUGUGGUCAUAAUCCAGUAAAUUUUACGACUCAAGAUGUUCAUUCUAUGGACCUGACUGAUCCAUUUGACUAUGACUGCUGAAAAUAGUGCUAGAGUUAGAUGUUGUUGCCCUUUUCAACCUGGGUUUUGUCUAAACCUGAUGAACAAUUAACCCUCGUUAUUUUGUACGGUUUGUAAGCUGGAGUUAGAUGUUCUUGCCCUUUUCAACUCGGCUGUGACUGUCAUAUUUUCUUUGAAACAAGGCAAAUGGCUUGCCAUUCGUUUAAUUUAGAGUGAAAUAUUGUAACAAAUCCCAACCAAGGGAAAUAACAUCACUCUCGCCGGCUGCUUGAGCUCACUGUGCAUUACAGAAGCCAAGUGAUUAGCCCCCACCAGCACCCACAAACUUAUUUCGAACUAGCACACCAAAUGGGCUGUAAAUUUUCAUAGGAAAGGCUGCAUGACCAUGAAAGAUUUGGAUUCUGGCAUUUGGGACCCAUGAGGAAAUAGCCUAUCCAAGGUGGUGUUGACUUACUAGCUAGUCAACAAACGAUUCUGCCUACCAACCGUUGGAUUGACAUCCAACAUCUGUCGUGUAUCUUAUAUCUCUGGUCUUCUUCCUCCAGCCGCCCAAACCAAACCACCCUGUCGGCUCCGCCUGCUCCCGCCACCCAUGGCUGGCUGCGCCUCCGCCGCCCUACCGUACCCUCCAACGUUGGCCAGUCCCUCCCUCUAUUCCCCCACAUGUCCUGUUAUUCUCCGGCGAUGUCAGCCCCAACAUGCACCCGCACCUGAACCAGUCAACCCUCGUACUCCCCUCCGCCUGUGACUGGACCGGCGCAUCUUCCACGGCUCCUGUUUGUUCCGUCUAAGGCCUCGCCGUCGCCCUCGGCCUUGGUUCGCUCGCCGUGCGCGGUGCGCCGCCCUAUUGCGUUGUCAACGCCGUCAACAACCGAGAGGAACAAGGAUAUGAUUGUACGUGGAGAGGAUGACAGUAGGGACCCACCAGCGUCAUGGAAGUACGCAAGCAAGUGCCUCGUUAUUAUAAGCCCCAAAAAAUGGUUCCUCCUAAUGGUUGGACAUCUGGGGCUCACACUAUUGUCAACGUAGUCAAUUACACAACGAGCGGCUGACACCAGGGCCCCAGCAGGUCGCGCAGUUGUUAUUUACUUUUUCUUAGGAACAAGCAGUUGUUAUUUAUACUAGUUUUAGCGACGGAUCAGGGUAACAACAAGGCUGUGUGGGGGCUGUGGCCCGUCUAGACAGGGUUUUAUUUAUGUUUACCACAUCAUGAGUCCAGUUGUGUUUUUUUCUUGCUGAAAAUGGCUAGCCCAGUUCUAUUUUUUAAAAGAAAUACCCAAACGAGGCCUACUUGCUUUAUCAGGCCUGCUGGGCUACAAAUCUUUCAAGACGAGGAGAGUUUCAUUCGGUUUGCCCAGAAAUGGGCUAUACAUUUUUAAAACACAUCAAACCGGGAAUUAGUUUCAAUUUUUUUAAUUACAAGAUUUUAAAUUCCAUUGAUUUUUAUGCAUGGACAAUUAUUUGGAUUUUAUAUUUAUAUAAAUUAUUUUUCAAAAUAGUUUGAAUGUGACUCGAUAUUUCGGGAUUAAAAACAGUUGACCGCACCGAAAUAUGCAAAAUUUCGUAUAAUUUUUAACCGUGGCCACAAUAUGGGGUGUAAUGCUAACAAAAAGAAGAUGGGCUCCAAAAAAAUCUUAAGAAUUGGCAAAUGGACUGUAAAUUAUUAGAAAUAAUGGCAGAUGGGUUGUAUGAUGUUUUCCACAGACUUGAGGCUGACUUGUGCGCCUACUACAGGUUGACGCGUAUGCUUUCCUAAAAAAUAAGGUUGACGCACAAGCAACGUCGUGUCAACUUAGUCAACACACGAGAGCAGUGACUGUUGGAUGUCCAUCCAACGGCCGUCGUGCUUCUUCAAUCUCUGCUCUUCCUGCUCCAGCCGCUCAAACAAGCGCCGGCGGGACUUCCUGCUCCCUCCUCCCGCGGCCGGCUAUGCUGCCGCGCAGGCCUCACCACCCCAUCGUUCUCCUGUCCCUGGCCUAGCCAUCCCUCUACUCACCCGCACCUGAUGUUAUUCUCCGGUGACGACAGACGAACUAGUAAACCCUCACACUCCCCUCCGUGUGGGAAACAACUGCCGAGUUUUCCCUGGCUCCGUGUCGUUCCCUUCCUAGGCCUCGCCGUCGUCCACCGCCCUGGUGCUCUCGGCGCGGCGUGGUCAACGUGGUCAACGAACGACAUGCAUGGGAAGUGGACUGUACAUGGAGAGGCUGACAGCUAGGUCCACGGCCGCACGCAAGAAAAUGCCUCCUUAUUACGCGCAAAAUAAUGAUUCCUCCACCUGACAGCUGGGACCCACCGGAAGGGCCUAUGUAUUUCACGAAAAAAUGUUCCCCCGCUGACAGGUCGGACCCACCAGCUAUAUCUUCGCACGCAAGGAAGUGCCUCGUUAUUACGCACAAAAAAGAAUACUCCCCCUUCUAGUUGGGACCCACCAUAGUGGGAGGUUGACUUGUGGGCCUACUAAGAUGACGGGGACGAAGGGCUUUGUCAACUUAGUCAAUAUGAAUGAUUCUAGCUCCAGUGACCGUACGAUGUCCAUCCAACGGCCAUAGUGCUUCUUCAACCUCUGGUCUUCUUGCUCCAGCCGCCCAAACCAGCGUCGGUCGUGCCGCAGCCGAACCAGUGAACCCUCAUACUCCUCUCCGCGUGGGCAACCACUGCCGCGUCUUUCCCGGCUCCGCAUCGUCCCCUUCCUAGGCCUCGCCGUCGUCCACCGCCCUGGUGCUCUCGGCACGGCGUGGUCAACGUGGUCAACGAACGACUUCCAUCGGAAGAGUACUGUACGUGGAGAUGCUGACAGCUGGGUCCACGGCCGCAGCAAGGAAGUGCCUCCUUAUUACGCGGAAAAUAAUGAUUCCUCCACGUGACAGCAGGGACCCACCGGACGGGCUACCGUAUUUCACAAAAAAACGUUUCCCCCUGACUGUUGGGACCCACCAGCUACAUCUUCGCAUGGAAGGAAGUGCCUGAUAGUCGGGACCCACCUGGUCGAAGCGUACGUAGCGUUGUCAUUCUAGUCGCGAACGUGUACGUACAUACUGGUCGAUGUAGAGGCACGCACGUGUCGUAGUAGAGGUGCGCACGUAGCAUGUACACGUACGUACAGCGGCCAGGGUGCAAGAAAGUAAAUACGGCCACGAACGUACAUACGGGCGUGGUCUCGAACGCCUACUCGCGCAUACGUAUGGCCAGGGCUCGUGUACAUGGCUGGGUCGGAAUAGAGAAGCUGCGCCAUCGUCGUGUUCAUGGGGAGGCAACGGAAUGCGUCGUGUUCAUCGGGAGGCAAUGGAACGCGUGUUGUUCAUCGGGAGCCAACCGGCUUGGACGGAACAGCCGAUGGAAACGAGGCCUGGCGUACCACAGAAUGGAGGAAAUGGCCUUGUGUUCGACCGGCCACGGUCGAAACGGGAUCCUGUUCAUCGGGAGGUGUUUGAUGUACCGCAAAAUGAAGGAAACGGACCUCCUACGGUCGAAACGGGGUCCUGUUGAUUGGGAGGGGUGUGGCGUACCGCAAAAUGGAGGAAACGGACUUGUGUUGGAGCGCUACGGUCGAAACGGGGGUCCUGUUCAUCGGGAGGGGUGUGGCGUACCGCAAAACGGGACUCCACGGGAUACUGUUCAUCUCCACCGUCGACCUCCUCCAGCCUCCACGGGCUACUGUUCAUCCACCGUCGACUACCUCCACGGGCUCCUGUUCAUCCACCGUUGACCUCCUCCAGCCUCCAUCUGCGACUGUUCAUACAUGGGCUCCUGUUCAUCCAGCCUCCACCGGCUACUGCUCAACCAGCCCCCUCCACGGGGUCCUGUUCAACCACCCCUCCACGGGCUACUGUUCAUCCAGCCCUCCACCGGUUACUGUUCAACCAGCCCUCCACGAGGUCAUGUUNNNNNNNNNNNNNNNNNNNNNNNNNNNNNNNNNNNNNNNNNNNNNNNNNNNNNNNNNNNNNNNNNNNNNNNNNNNNNNNNNNNNNNNNNNNNNNNNNNNNNNNNNNNNNNNNNNNNNNNNNNNNNNNNNNNNNNNNNNNNNNNNNNNNNNNNNNNNNNNNNNNNNNNNNNNNNNNNNNNNNNNNNNNNNNNNNNNNNNNNNNNNNNNNNNNNNNNNNNNNNNNNNNNNNNNNNNNNNNNNNNNNNNNNNNNNNNNNNNNNNNNNNNNNNNNNNNNNNNNNNNNNNNNNNNNNNNNNNNNNNNNNNNNNNNNNNNNNNNNNNNNNNNNNNNNNNNNNNNNNNNNNNNNNNNNNNNNNNNNNNNNNNNNNNNNNNNNNNNNNNNNNNNNNNNNNNNNNNNNNNNNNNNNNNNNNNNNNNNNNNNNNNNNNNNNNNNNNNNNNNNNNNNNNNNNNNNNNNNNNNNNNNNNNNNNNNNNNNNNUCGAUCGGCUUCAGUUAGCAGCAGUAGCGAAGGAAUCACUUAGGUUCAGUUAACAGCAAGGGAUCGAUACAUCGCUCGGGUUCAGUAACGCAUAGCCUGCAGUGCAAUCGCUCGGGUUCAGUUAGAGCCCAAUGCCUCGCUCGGGUUCAGUUAGAGCCCAACGCCUCGCACACACGCGCGUACGUACGAGAGAAACGCGCAUCGCUGGGCCCCCGACCACCCACCUUAACCGGGAACUCCCCAAUAUUUUCCGCGCCCUCGCUUCUACCACGGUUUUUUCCGUCAUGGACGGCCCAAAGAAUGUCAUGCAGCUAUGUCUCCGGCACGCCCAGGACGAAAAGCCCUUUUUUGUCAUAGAAGUAGGAGCCCACCACAUCUAUGAUGAUACCGGGUUUUGUCACAAUUAUCGUCAUAGAAGUGUCAUAAGUAUGACAGGAAAAAAAAUCGUUCGGCCCAAAAUGUCACGGAUGUGUCUCUUUUUUGUAGUGAUGGUGCGCCCCCAAGGGGGGAUUCCUACUCCUACUAGGAGUAGGUUUCCCCCCUUUCCUAGUCCAACUAGGAGGGGGAAGGAAGGGGAAGAGGGGAAGAAGGAAAGGGGGGCCGGCCCCCUCCCCAAUUCGGAUUGGGCAUGGGGGGCGCCCCACCUCUUGGCUGCCUCCUUUCUCUUCCACUAAAGCCCAUGUAGGCCCAUUAAGCCCCCGGGGGGUUCCGGUAACCCCCCGGUACUCCGGUAAAUGCUUGAACUCAUCCGAAACCAUUCUGGUGUCCAAACAUAACCUUCCAAUAUAUCAAUCUUCAUGUCUCGACCAUUUCGAGACUCCUUGUCAUGUCCGUGAUCACAUCCGGGACUCGGAACUACCUUCAGUACAUCAAAACACAUAAACUCAUAUUACCGAUCGUCAUCGAACGUUAAGCGUGCGGACCCUACGGGUUCGAGAACUAUGUAGACAUGACCGAGACUCAUCUCUGGUCAAUAACCAAUAGCGGAACCUGGAUGCUCAUAUUGGUUCCCACAUAUUCUACGAAGAUCUUUAUCGGUCAAACCGCAUAAGAGCAUACGUUGUUCCCUUUGUCAUCGGUAUGUUACUAGCCCGAGAUUCGAUCGUUGGUAUCAUCAUACCUAGUUCAAUCUCAUUACCAGCAAGUCUCUUUACUCGUUCCGUAAUGCAUUGUCCCGUAACUAACACAUUAGUCACAUUGCUUGCAAGCCUUAUAGUGAUGUGCAUUACCGAGAGGGCCUAGAGAUACCUCUCCGACUAUCAGAGUGACAAAUCCUAAUCUCGAUCUAUGCCAACUCAACAAACACCAUCGGAGACACCUGUAGAGCAUCUUUAUAGUCACCCAGUUACGUUGUGACGUUUGAUAGCACACUAAGUGUUCCUCCGGUAUUCGGGAGUUGCACAAUCUCAUAGUCAUAGGAACAUGUAUAAGUUAUGAAGAAAGCAAUAGCAAUAAACUAAACGAUCAUAGUGCUAAGCUAACGGGUGGGUCAAGUCAAUCACAUCAUUCUCUAAUGAUGUGAUCCCGUUCAUCAAAUGACAACUCAUGUCUAUGGUUAGGAAACUUAACCAUCUUUGAUUAACGAGCUAGUCAAGUAGAGGCAUACUAGUGACACUUUGUUUUGUCUAUGUAUUCACACAUGUACUAAGUUUCCGGUUAAUACAAUUCUAGCAUGAAUAAUAAACAUUUAUCAUGAUAUAAGGAAAUAUAAAUAACAACUUUAUUAUUGCCUCUAGGGCAUAUUUCCUUCAAAUAUGACAAGGACGAGCUAUUUUUCUGUCCGGUCUGCGUAUUAUACAUAAUGGGAUCAUCAGUUUGGAGCUCGAGUGCGAAGAGAGGAUGGACAGGGAUCGUCCACGAUGAACCCAGUAUGGGAUAUUGUUUGGAAGCUGAAGAUCCCAAGUAAAAUCAAAAUAUUCAUAUGGAAAGCACUGCAUGGUACUGUCGCGUGCUAUGGGGUUCUCGCCUCGCGACACAUUCUGGUUUCUGGCCAGUGCCCUAUUUGUUCUUUAGGCAUGGAAGACAUACGACAUCUACUCUUCACAUGCACUCGGUCUUGGCAGGUAUGGCGGGCAUUAGGCUGGAUGAUAUCAUCAAACAUGCAGUGCCCUCUGACCGCUCUGGAUAUGUUAUUUUGGAAGGGUUGCUAUGCAGUCAGGUGAAGAAAUCACCGGUUCUCGGUGGGCUCGGACUUCAGGAAUCAAUUGUCGUGGUUUGUUGGUAUAUCUGGUACCAACAUCGAGAAAUGGUCAAAGGAGAACAGGUGUUUGCCCCAACGCGCAAAUCAUUUGCAAUCCAGGAGCUUAUGUCAAAUUUCAAUGCGGCAUCGAUAACAAGUGUUCCACAUGAAAUCAUGUGGACUAAACCUAGCCCAGGAUCGUAUAAACUAAACAUAGAUGCGGCUUUUCAUGAUGAUGGCACGGGAGUUGUGGGGGUUGUCUUACGCAACAAUUCCGGUGAAGCGAUUGCGGGUGCUGCUAAACCUAUAUAUCAUGUGUUGGAUGCUGGAUCGACGGAGUCUUUCGCCAUGCUCAAAGGAUUUGAGCUACUAGAAAGACUAGGAUGCUCGGGAGUGACGGUGGAAUCAGACUGUUUGGACUUGAUUAAUGCAUGCACUGGAGUCAUUGAAUUAUUUGGUCCCUCCUCAGCUAUACUGGUGGAAAUCUUCGCAAAGGCACAACACAUUGCUGGAAUCUCCUUUCAGAGUUGCAAGCGGGAUGCAAAUUUAGUUGCGCACAACUUAGCAAAACAUUCGUACGAGUCAAAGUCUUUUAUUUUUUGGGAUGAUGUCCCUCCUAGUUUCUUACUUCCAUUUUUUAUUCAUGAUGUAACUUUGUUGGCUUCGAAAUAAAGUGCGCCCGAAUAGGCAUCCCCCCUCAAAAAAGAAAAAAUGAAUGCACAAUUAUAGUUGUUAUCGUCGUUUUAGAUUUAGCAAGCAUUUAGAUGUCUCUAUUUAACGGAGUCUUUGUCUCAUCACCUAGAUGAUAUAUUGUCAAGUAAAGAAAAUAACAAAAGAAAUCAUGUGCACAUAUUUUUUUAGUUUUUCAUCAAGUUUUUUCUAGAUUACUCCAAAGAAUAUUUCUUUCAAACAAAAUGCUUUCUCAUCAACAUAUACUAUGUUUUCAUAAAAAACAUUAGCUCAUUUUUUUAGCGAUUCCCACAGCAACGCGCGAGAUAUCACCUAGUAGCAGUAAUGCAUAGUUCGUUCGGUCAUUUUUAGUCUGCAUGUAUGAUUUGUCCGAAAUCAAAGUAUCUCUACUUUAACCAAAAAGAAUAUCAACAUCCACAAUUUCAAAUCAAUACUGUUAGAUUCGUUAUGAAAUGUAGUUUUCCAGAAGUAGGAUUAUGAAAUGUAGUUUCAUGUAUAUAUAUUUGGUAUUGUAGAUAUUGAUAUUUUUAAUAUAAAUUUAGAACGCCGAUAUCCAUCACACGUGUGGUAUAUUAGAUAUCCGCUCACACGUCGUGUGUAGCGUGAGCAGGAGGCAGCCCACACAGGUUGUGUGUGGGCGAAUAUUAGAAUUGCCCACCCGUGUGGGCGCAGCCACUUCGUGCCACACGCCCAACAAGUACUACUCAUCUCCACCCCGCACGUGUGGCACGAAGCAAAAAUGCCACACGUCCUGACGCAGCUACGUUAGGUACCCGCGGGAUGAUGAUUUAGUUGCUAUUCGGGAUGGCAGAUGUAGUUAUCCGGGAUGACAAGUUAGUUGUAAAAGAAUGGCAACUCUAUCUGUUUUGGUUAACUAUAGUUGCCAUGUCUAAUUUAUGGUAAUUGCCACGUGUAAUCAAACCGUAGUUGCCGUGUGUGAUUAACUAAUUGCCACAUAUGGUCAAACAGUAGUUGCCAUGUGUGUUUACCUAGUUGCCACGUGUGGUGCAACCAAAGUUGCCAUGUAUGGUUAAUCACACUUGUCAUGUGUGCUUAUUUGGUUGCCAUGUACCCGCAACUAUACAGUUACCGUCCAGCAACGAAUCAUAGUUGCCAUGUGUGUUUAACUAGUUGCCACGUACGCGUAACGCGUAACUGCAGUUGCCAUCCAACAACAUAGGAGUGUUGUGUGGGCGAAAAGCAGUUCGCCCACACGCGCAUGGACUAGGUGGUGACUGUGUGGGCAGAAACUAGUUUGCCCAUACAGCGCAGCUGACAAACAGCGUGGUGCGGAGAGAGUUGAACUCUCCAACGACCACAUCCACCAGCCCCGUCCUACGUGGCACGCAAAUUUGACCUCAGUGUGUCAAGAUUAUGCAAACUGCACUGAACGAUGAUCCACGCGUGUGGACGAGUUGCAAAACUGUCACACGGGCGUUAGCAUUUUUGUAAAUUUAGUCAAGAAGGAGCUUCGUUUGCAGAUUCAAUACUUAACAUGUGUUUAGGAAAAGAAAACGCUAGAUUCUUUCGUUAUUAAUACUUAGCUGUAAAAGUAAAAGGUACAAGCCCUGCUCGACGAGAAAUACAUCUGAUCUGAGCACAUGAACACUAUAGCAGGGCAUCCAAGCCCGGACGCACGCACGCACGCGCACACACACACAAUGGGAAACAGCCAAACAUCCAGGCCGCAUCUCCUCCGUAGUAUAGGAUCGACGAUGAUGAUUGAUGCGUCGUUAAGCCGCGCCAG